UACGGGGGGAGCAAGCGUUGUUCGGAUUUACUGGGCGUAAAGGGCGCGUAGGCGGCCAGCACAAGUCAGUUGUGAAAUCUCCGGGCUUAACUCGGAAAGGUCAACUGAUACUGUGCGGCUAGAGUGCAGAAGGGGCAACUGGAAUUCUCGGUGUAGCGGUGAAAUGCGUAGAUAUCGAGAGGAACACCAGUUGCGAAGGCAGCUCGCUGGGACGUUACUGACGCUGAGACGCGAAAGCGUGGGGAGCAAACAGG
rnacentral:rRNA from 1 species